UAUCGACAAAACGAAAACAAACUACGCAAAAAGGAACGACGGCGACGAAAACUGCAACAAAAAAUACAACAAGGCCCAUUUGCAGGACCCGGGCGUACCCUCCCUUCCUGAGACGGCAUGCGUUCCUUGUCUCCCAUAUGUUGUCCACCCAUACGGGCCAAUCUUAGCCUGCGUUGGAAAUCACGUUUCCCCUCCCCCUUCCACAAAAACUUAGCCGGAUAUCAUAUUCAUUUUCAUGUUUUCUUAAUAAAAAUUCAACAAGGCAACAAUGAUGAGACAAACGCACAGAACAGGAACACAACGAUGUUGCAAAUAGGCAACAUGCUCGCCGGAAACAACGGUGGCAAGAUGCUGGUGGGGAGACGCCGCGGGAAUUACCAAUGAAUAUAUGUAGAUGUAUAUAUAUGUGUGUAAACCGCUUAUAAUAAUGUAUGUGUGGAACCUGUGGAUCUUGUGUAUUGUGAAUACUUAUUGCUAUGUGUAUAUUACUUAUUGCU